AUAUACUUUUUUUAAUACAUUGUUGGAUUUGAUUUGCUAAUAACUUUUGAGGAUUUUUAAGUUUAUGUUCAUGGGAGAUAUUGGUUUGCAGUUUUCUUAUAAUGUCUUAGUCUGGUUUUGGUAUUUGAUACCCCAAGUUUGGUAUUUGGUAUUAUGGUAUGCUGGCCUCAUGGAAUGCAUUAAGAAGAACCCUCUCUGCUUCUAUCCUCUGAAACAGAUUCUAGAGAAUUAAUAUGAUUUCUUUAUUAAAUGAUUGUUAUAAUUCACCAGUGAACCCAUCGUGGCCUAGUGCUUUAUGUUUUGGAAGAUUUUUAAUUAUUAAUUCAAUUUUGUUAAUAGAUAUAGGCCUAUUUAAAUGGCCUGUCGCUUCUCGUGUGAAUUUUUGCACAUCCUUUUUUGUUUUUUUUUUUGCGGUACGCGGGCCUCUCACCGUUGUGGCCUCUCCCGCUGCGGAGCACAGGCUCCGGACGCGCAGGCUCAGCGGCCAUGGCUCACAGGCCCAGCUGCUCCGCGGCAUGUGGGAUCCUCCUGGACCAGGGCACGAACCCGUGUCCCCUGCGUCGGCAGGCAGACUCCCAACCACUGCGCCACCAGGGAAGCCCCUGCACAUCUUAUCUUUCAAGAAAUUCAUCCGUUUCAUGUAGACUGUCAAAUUUGGGUAGGGGUUGGGCUUGGCUUUGUUCUUCCAGAAGUGCACAUUACUAUCCCCCCUUGAAUUUUUAUGCGGUAGAAAGAAGAUGCUGAAGCAGUGUUCCCCAACAAGGUAAUGGUUUAAAUUUCACUAAAAUACUUCUAUCAGUAACUGUUUAGCUUUCACAAAUAAUUUUCCAAGAACCAACAUGUUACUUGUAUAAAUACUGUUACAAACUAAAAGAACCUCAGUUUUAUUAUUUUUAGUUUUCCUUAGGAAUGUCUGUGAACAGAAUAAUCCUCACAUUGAAGGUUGUUUUUUAAAUCCUCACUUAAUUUGAAAGGAAAAAGUGUGUGUGAAUGUACUUUUCUAUUCCAAAGUCUCAGGGCUUCACAGAAGAAAGCUUAAUAUCCAGUAGUUAAGUUAUAUAAACAUGAGUUUAUACAGAUACAGAUUUAUAUAACUAUUGCCCAGCCACUAAAUCAAGAUCAAGAGAUUAACAGAAUGAAAGGUUUUUUUCCUACCAUAACUUUUCAAAAAGGUUAAGACAGAGGGAUAGAAUAUGUAUAUAUUUGUAGGUGUCAAGAGAAUAGGAGAAUACAAGCAACUUGACAAGACUAAGUGUAUUCUAUAAAAGAUUAACCACGACCAUGAGUGGCUGGGCUUAUAGUUUGCUACACCAAAGAAAUUAAAAAUUGAUACUUGAGAAUAUUGUUAUAAUAAUUUAUAAUAGCAUUCCUUUAUAGAGGCAUUUUAAUUUAAGCAAUGUUUCUCUCUUAAAUAUAUAAAACUAACCCUUAGUGUCAUGGAUGAGAAUCGUCAUAGCUACUGCUAAAUGAAAGAACAAUUUCCAAGAGCUGUUUGAUGGUGUUAUUUUAAUACCUACACCCAAACUUUAGGGAAGCAAUCUCCCAAGAAGAUCUUCUGGAAAACUGCCUGAUCUGCUCAUGGCAGGGGAAUAGCCCACUUCCAAGUCAAGCAUGAAGAAAAACACAAGUUAUGAAUGUACCCAAGAUCCCCAAAUAAAUUAGUAAAAGUGCCAUUAUUUUAAGAAUUAUCAGACAUAUAAUCAAAGUGUUUAAACACAAAUUCAAAUUUGUUCAGUCCAAAAGAUACAGUAAUUUUAUUACAUAUAAUUUCUCCUGUGUGCUAAAAAUGUUGACUUACAAGACAUAGUAUCUGUAUAAGUGUAGAGGGAAUUACGGUGGAAUUCUUUAAUCAUUUUUCAUUGGUGAGAAGAGAACAAUAAGGUAGUGGACAAAUAAUAAGAAGCACUCAGAGUCCUCUAAAAUUCAAGGUUGUAUAUUACUGCUCAACCAAAACAUACUACCAUUCUCUAAUAUAAAUGCCACUCAUUUAUCUUUGAAAAAUAAAGGUCAUUCUUUCUCCAUUAAAGCUUCUGCAAGAUUGACACAAAGGUUCAUUCUACCUAUUAAAAAUAGGGGUACUCUUCAUCUUUGGAUAAGGUAUCACCAUUUAGGGAAAAUGUAGUCAUAUACAUAUUACUAAAUUUUUAUUUGAGGCAGCUGUUGGAAUCCAUUAAGCACUUUUGGAACACUGUACCUUUAAAGUUUGUCUUUAACAUUAAUAGCUUUGGAAAACCAAAAAUAAAAGAAAAACAUCUAUGACAAAGUACAUUUCAUUCAGAUUUGAUAGCAGUAAAAUACAAAAAGAAAAAUUUAGUGCAGUGUCCAUUUUAUCUAUGUAAAUCACUUGAGGAUAGUUUUAUGUUAUAGUUUUAUGACUGA